rnacentral:lncRNA from 1 species
AGAAGAUCACCUAUGUAAGUGUGAAGUGGGGCCGCUUCAAUGAGAAUUAUUCAAGGCUUGAAUUCUCUAAACACUUACAGAACCAAGGUGGGUUCAAGGCCAAAAUGAACCAAGUCAUAAGAACCAUGAAUGGUUUAUGGGAGACAUUGUGUGAGUACUGUUGUCUUGGUUUAUACUAAUGGCUGAUGGUUCAAGAAUAUCGCGUUCACCAAUUAGCUAGUAAAUCUGAUGGUAUUUCACUAAGGAAGGUUUAAAGCCAGAAGCUACCUUACCUGAUGCAGUGUUUUCCCGCUCUCUCUCUCUACUAGUGUCUGCAUAGACAUUUGUAUUAAUUUUCAUUCAUGUGGGGGAUUGUUGGAAUUUUGUAUGUAAAAUUGGUUUACAUAAUUAUUUAAGUGAAAUUCUUAAUUUGGUGAAUGAGAAAUUAAGCAAAAUAUAAAGUCGCUUAAUACUUGAAAUUAUUGAAAAAUCGUAUAGAAUAUUGUGAAAUAUUCUAGAUAUAUGUGGAUGAAAAGUGUAUCUUUUCAUGUGAAAGAUCAUGACUCUUGGUAUGGGUAUGAUUAAUUUCCAAUAAUU